GCGCCCUUGGUGUACGGUAAACACACGUCUUACAUCUGCUUGUUGCAAAGAAAGAUUUGAGACGAGUCCGGGGUUUGAGUCCCCGAGGGUGCA